UUGAUGUUUUCUGAGACUAGUAAAAUCUGUUAAGUCUGUAGCUGUUACAUUAUGUUGCCAUGUUAACUUGAUGCUACCGUCGUAUCCAUGCAUAAUAUUGAGAUGCCUAGUUGACAUGUUUUGAUGUACAUGUUAUGCUCUAUCAUUCCAUGCCAUUUUAUGCCUCAUAUAUGUCGUGUAGCAUAUGUUGUCGUUGCCAUGAACAUGCCUAAAUGAUGUUCUAGUUUUCUGUUAACUUCAUGAUGCCCUGUUGUGAGCUUGUUAUUAAUUAAUCUAUGCCACUUUUGGAGAUGCUCCAAUUACAUGAAUUGAAUUAUGAUAUGCUUAUUUUGUCCACAUGCCAAGUUUGAUAAUUAGACUUCAUAUGGCCUAUUUUCCAAGCUUGCAAACAUGUCUACUUGUCGCUGUUUCUGCCAUGUUCAGUUUAUUCCACUAAGUUUGUGAAUCUGUUAUGACUUGCAAUCUUAUCUUGAUGAAUGUCAUUGAUCUAGAGGUUAUAUGGAGAUUCUUAAUAAUCAUGUUUUGCCAUGUUUAACCUGUUCUUUAAUUCCAUGCUUUUUUUGCCAUGAUCUUGCACUGUAGCAUGUUUGUUUCAUGCCUCGAACAUGUUAACAUGUUAUUUCUACUCACAUGUAUGUCAUGUUUUUCACUAAGUCAUAAUCUGUGUUAUCAAGUUGCUUUUUGCAUUGAUCAUAUUGGAUUAAUCUUGAUGCCUAUAAACCUGAACCUUGAUGAUAUUUGAAGCAUAUUGUUUGUACUUGAAGUGCAUAUCAAGUUUGUGUCCAUAUGUUCCCUGUAGCAUGUUGUUUCCUUGAUUGCAAAGUGCUUAGUUGCUGUUUUGGGCAGAUUGUGUUUGAAACUUGUAUCGAGUGUAUGUGUUCAACCGUUGCUCCGUUUUGAGCAUGCUCUACAUGAAACUUGCUUGGUUUUGCAUGUAGUUUCAUGUUACCUUGUUGCAUCCUUGUUUUGGAGUGUUUGUGAUGUUGUUUUGUUUGCAUUUGCAUCAAUGACAUGUUUAACUUGUUUUGCUCAUAUGUUCUAGGCCGUAGCUCCGAAUCAAACGAACUUUAUAUGUAACAUGACUAGAAAAACGUGUAGAUCAUCUUGGUGCACUUUAACUUGUUGUUUAACAACUUUAACAUAAUGUUUUGUUCAGAUCUGGACCGAUUUUGAAAUUUGCAUAUGAGGACUUACCGGAAUUGUUAUAUGUUGUUUCCGGCCUCUUUUAAACUUGCUUUGAUGUGUUGUUCUUGUAUGCAUCAUCUCUUGCCAUGAGUAGCAUCAUUUAGACUUGUCAUGCAUUAUACUUGGUUGAGCAUCAUGUCAUGUUUAUGUGUUGUGUGUUUAACAUGUUGUUUGCUUAUUUCUGGUUGCGCUCCUACUCGAUAGUUCUUGUUUCGUUGCGAUUGUGAGGAUUCGUUCGACUACGUGGGAUCAUGUUCUUCAUCGACUCGUUCUUUUUCCUAGUGGGAUUUCAGGCAAGAUGACCGUUACCCUGAAUCUCACUACUAUCUUUGCUAUGCUAGUUGUCUCGAUGCUAUCGCUAUGCCGCGCUACCUACCUCUUGUUUAUCAAGCCUCCCAAAUUGCCAUGAUAGCCUCUAACCUUUUCACCCUUUCUAACAAACCGUUGUUUGACUUUGCUCAGCCCCUCUUAUAGCAUUGCUAGUUGCAGGUGUAGUUGCAGGUUGUUCCAUGUUGAGACAUGGUCAUGGAUAUCUUGGGAUAUCACAAUAUUUCUUAUUUAAUUAAUGCAUCUAUAUUUAAAACAAUAAUGAAGCUAGCCAACUCACCUCCACAAGGCUCCCCCGAUUGCAGCUUCGUUGGCCGUUGGAUCUGGUCAUCUAGAGUGUCUGAGCCGCAAGAUCUUUGCCUGCUGUCAAACCUGAUUUCACCUUGUGGUUGUUCUGGCUGUCCAAUGACUGAUGGGCAUGUUUAUUGACUGGGUUGAUCCAUCUCGCGUGAAAAAAGCUUUCGCCCAAUCCCCGCGCGCGCUCCGCUCCCGAUACUCGUCGCAAGCCAGAGCCCACACCCGCACCAACCCUAGCCUCCACACCUCAACUUCCUCCCUCGCUCCGCCCCAACCCUAGCCGCCACACCUCUGCUUCCUCCCUUGCUCGACGCCAUAGGCACCGCAGCCCCUACCUCCUUCCUGCUCGUCCGGAUAGCCGCCGUCCGCCGCAUCCUUUCUCCUCCUUCCUCCUCCCUGGUCCCCGCUGGCGCCCCUCGCCCUCGUCCUCGGACAGGGGGCCUCCCGCAUGGACGGCCGGGUCUUCAAACCGGGGGUAGAGGAGCUGGGGAGGGCCAAGAGGCCGUAGGUGGGGGUGGAUCAGCUAGGCCGGAGACCUCUGAUUGCUUAGGCCCCAUGGCAGCAGCUGGAUUGGGGCGGCGGCGGAAGGCCAUGGAGGGUGUGGCGCAUGCGGGCGGAACCAACAUGGGUUGGUGGAGCGACGGAUGCGGGCAGGGUCAGCAGUUAGGGGCACUGCGAGGAGUGGAAGGCAGUGGUCAUGCGCCAGAUCGGAGCUGCAGCAGCAAGGAGCUGGUGGUGGUUCAGGUUUGCCUGUAUGGCCGUCAACUCCAGCCCCGACCCGGACAGUGCCAUGGGUCCGGCGAAGUGGUCCACGCUGAGGAAGAGGGAAACAACACAGGGAAGAAGCCGGCGUUCUUGUGGUUUGUCCUCCUGUCGAUUUCCCCUCUUGCCUGAUCUGAUUUUGUGGUGAAAACAAUGGUGGAUUUCUCUGCUGGGUGGUCAAUUUUGGGGUUGAUGUAUGCCCUCGAUUCCUUCCUUUUCUGGUUCCUUUCCGGCUUGCUAUUCAUGCCGUUGCAAUGGUUAGAAGAAAGGGGACCCAAUACAGCUUGUUACAAAUCAUUUCAAAGUUUCCUUGAAAGACACCAUAGAUGAGUUCUUUCAUCAUUAUUUUGUUUGGAUCUAUCCUUGUUUACUUUGUUUUUUAGUUCCAUGUGUAACCAUCAGAUGCCAUUGCUCUUUUAUUUAAUUGAAUGCAGGUAUAUCUGAGGUAUUAGGACGAUAGGCCAGUGGAUGGAAAAGGUGUUGGUACAAAAGUCAUUGACAAACUGUAACAGGCUUAUGCAUCUGAGAUUCCUAUGAUGGCGAAAAAGUGACAAGACAUUGAAUGUGGAACAUUACAGAGAAAUGAUUGACAAUUUGACAGAAGUAUUAGAUGAGUUUCGGACGACAAGGUCGCGUAUGGAGUACUUUCACCAUUAGGUUUCCAUUGCCCGGCUCGUGAAGGUAUGAUGUCUCGAUACCUAAUUUGCUUAUUUUUACUUGUUGAGGGUUAUAGGGGUUGUUUGGUUUUCGCCCAGACUAGCCCUGCCAACGCACCGGCGAGCCAAAAAAUUGGCGCAGCUUUUCGCCGCCCGCGUCUCGCCCGCUGUUGGCAGAAAAAAUGAACUGCAGAUGCGACGGGAGCAUUGGCGCGCCAAAACAUGGGCUGCAAUCCAAGCGGCGCCUUGGCACUUGGUCAAUGCCAAUUAUUUGGCUCGGCAGGCUGGGGCUCCCAACCAAAUAGCCUCAUAUAACAGGAGGGAGCCCUAUUGUUGAAAAUGUUUGAAAGAGAUCGACAAACAGUAUAGCUCUUAGCACACAUAUGUUAAUUUCGUUUUUUGGGUGUAUGAAUGCUGCCCUAUCACAUGAGUCAUACGAUUUAUAAGUUGCACUGUCAUAUGAUGAAUUCACGGUAUAUCAGGCUUAAAUUGGACUUUUAUUUGGAGAGGUGAAGUAUGGAUAAUCGACGUCUGAAGGAAAAUAAAAUGCUCGCAAUAUGUUUCAGUUCAUAUGAUAAAUGUCUCAUGUUUCUCCUGUGCAAUAUUAGGCUGAAGUCCGAUUUUUUUUCUCUGUACUACUCAAGCUUGAUUCUAUCUCAAAACCCCAAACAAAACCUGCGUAUCUUUUUCAUUUAUACAUUCGUAAUGAUGUGAUGUACUAACCAGUUUUUGUAAACCUGAUGAUCCAACUAUAUAUUUUAAUCAUGUAUGUGCUUGAUGAUUAGGCACAUGUAAGUGCUUUUGUCAUAUUGCUCAAACAAUGAUCUGCUACCACUGAAGUUACUGAUCAGAUACUAAUCGUGUUUAUACAUCCAACCCCGCGACAAGGCAUUGGCUCCAACAACUGUUGCAUAAUGUGACAGUGGUUGGUGUGGGACGACCAGGCAUAGGGGUACCUUCCCAGCCAGGCCUGGAUCAUGGGGAUUUGAUCAGUUCACAACAAUAAUACAAUCUCUUGUGAAUUGCAGGUGUAGUAGGUUGUGUGGUGUUGGUGUAGUUUCAACCUUCUAGAAAAAGAAAAUGUUGUGUUGUGUGUGUGUCGAUACAUCAACAGCAGUUCAAGCUGGUUUGCUUAUACAGUAAUACUGUGAACACAAGCUAAGCAAGCUGUUUUCUGUCUUUUUUCAUGGUCUUGCAGUGUUUUUUUUUGUUACCGAGGUUGAACAUGUUUACUAGGAAAGUAGUAGCACAUUAUGCGGCUGCAAUUCUCAACAAUUAAAACCUGAAAUAAUACCUUUUCAAGUCCUUAGGAACUAAAUUCAGUCCCACUCGGACAGCCCAUCUCCAUGAGACUUCCAUAUCAAACUGAAAUUCAAUUUCCUCUCAUUAGCCAAAGCAUGCCAUCACGUUUUCUUUGCUGCUGUUUUGGAAUUAUUUCAGUAUUGAGUGAGUUCUUUUUUGUAAGUGUACUUUAUAUGUUCAUGACUGAUCUUUUAAAUUAAUUGUUGUUCUUUUACAAAAUUGAGAGUUCUUUUUUGUAAGUGUACUUUAUAUGUUGGUGACUGAUUUUUUAAAUUAAUUGUUGUUCUUUUACGAAAUUGAGCAUAAAGAAAAAGAACGAAGAAAAAAUGUUUAGCUAAAUAGGCAAAGCUGCUGAUGUUUACUUGGUGUAGACCCUUGAUGGGCCAUGCAUUUCACUGCUUUCUGCAUUCCUGGACUGUAAGAAUCUUGCGGAGGUGCUCCUCUAUUUUCCUGUUGCUUUCUCUGUCACUCGCAUUUAAAUUUGCCACUAUAUUGGUUUUCAAACAUGAUGUGUAUUGAUCCAAGGAUGAAGAGAAGAAGAGUUGGGAUUGUGUAUCUGUGAUUGUACACGUCCAAGGUGCCAUACUUGUCUGCAUUUAAAAUUUCUUUUUCUUGGAACUAUUGGCAUGUAGAGGAGGCUGCAUUUUAUUUGCUGGUGUGUUAGGCACAUAAGAAACUGGUUUUGCCUUUUUCACAAACCAAGCUGGGGCUAGCUUCUGAUGUAUAUGGUCCCAGCUCCAUUUUUAUUGUCAAAAAAAUCAAGUACAAUGUUAAAUGUGUUGGUUCACAUGCCAAUUGUUCAUGUUCUUCAGGCCUUGAUCUUACUAUCCUAUCUGAAUAUUCCUUUUAUGACAAUCAUAGGUUUAUGUGAUUGGCGGGGAUGGAACAAUGAGAGGAGUAGUGGCGAUAUUCGAAGAGUUUAAACGGUGUGAUUUGAGGAUAUCCAUUACAGGGAUCCCAAAAAACUUGGACAACGACAUUGACAUCAUAGACAGGGCGUUUGGGUUUCAAACUGCAGUGGAGAGUGCUCAGUAGGCAAUCGACGCGGCACAUGUGGGGUUGUGAAUAUUGUGGAUGGCAUUGGUCUUGUCAAACUUAUGGGAAGGAGCACGGGCCACAUUACUCUUCAUGCCACCCUGAGCAGCCUGAGAUGUUGACUUAUGUUUGAAUCCUGAGAUCGAUUUCCAUGUUGAAGGGAAGGGGCAUGCUGUCGUUGUUGUUGCUCAAGGCGCUGGUCAGGAGUUGAUUCCCCGGAUUGAUGACCAGAAGCGAGAGCAGGAUGAGUCUGGCAACAUGUUGUUCCUUAACGUUGGCCUUCUUCUAUAAAGUUUACAUGCAACUCACCUGCAUGGUUAAAAAAGCUACUACUAAUUUAAAUGUUCUGUUUCUUUGAAGAUUACUCAUUUCUCUUACCGUUGUUGCAUCGAAACAAUUGUAUUUUGGCCGCUUGCGCUCAUUUUAUAGGAGAUUGAGAUGUGGGAUAAGCUACUACCAAAUGUUUGGUUCCCAUCAAACCGGUUAUUUGCCAAUAAAAUAAAGGUUCCUUUUUUGAAA